rnacentral:rRNA from 1 species
GAGUUUGAUCGUGGCUCAGGAUGAACGCUGGCGGCGUGCCUAAUACAUGCAAGUCGAGCGAACAGACGAGGAGCUUGCUCCUCUGACGUUAGCGGCGGACGGUGAGUAACACGUGGAUAACCUACCUAUAAGACUGGGAUAACUUCGGGAACCGGAGCUAAUACCGGAUAAUAUAUUGAACCGCAUGGUUCAAUAGUGAAGACGGUUUUGCUGUCACUUAUAGAUGGAUCCGCGCCGCAUUAGCUAGUUGGUAAGGUAACGGCUUUACCAAGGCAACGACUAGGGGA